AUUUCUUAGCCUGGUUCCCAUUUUAAGCUGUGUAAUAAUCAAUUACUCUAUUUGGCAGGCUACAGUCACAAAAUUUGAUAGGCUCAAAACCAGCAUGGGAAUUGUGUUGCACAGUUAACCCGUGCCCGUUGUUUCUGAAUCAAAUAGCAUACAAACUUUGUGCUUCCUUCUCAUUUAAAUGAUUGCAGCACGCAGUUAGCACUAAGCAUGCUGUUGAAUCACUUCAGGCCUGAACAGGGGGUGCAAAAUCUCACACAAAAUAAACACGGUGCAAAAUCUCUUAAAGGAGGUGCAUUUUGACUGGAGUAGAUGCUAGAAGUCAUUUUAGCAAUGGAUAUAUCCUGAGGAAGAGACAACAAUGGCCCAGUUAACACCACCCCACCUCCCCUCCAUGACCCCACAUAGAGCAUCACUGCCCAACAGUACCUCCUGCAGCUGCCCACCUGCUGCUUGAAGAUCGACUUCCUGCUGCAGUGAGAAGAUCCACGUGACUGAUGGUCCACCCGCCCACUGCUGCACGUGAUGUUCCAGAGUCCUGUCGCUGGAGGCCCCCAUCUUCUCUUCCAACAUGCGCAAGCUGCCCUUUUCAGGUUGAACUUCUUCACUUGGGAGGAAGCCCCACUUUGAAGAGCUGCCAGCCAAUCUGAUUGGCCUAGAGAGUCCCUGCAGUAACACUGCUGCAGUGCACAGAAGAGGAAGGUGCUGAGAAUUUUGUAUUGGACAGUGAUGUUCCUCCAGAGAACAUGAAUGGGAUGGAAUGGUACUGGAUGGGAUAUGUAAAGUAGCGUGAGAGGAAAUGAUUGAGGAAGGUGAAAGAGAAAAAAGAAUCACAUCGCCAAAUGGGAAUUGGAAAAAUCACUUGGACACAGUCCAACAGAAUAUCUGGUAACCAUGGUUUUGUAGUGAAAUUUAGGAAAGUGUAAGUGAGAUAGUAUAGUGAUAGCUUUCGCUUAGAUAUGUUUCUGUCAUUGCCUGCAAAUCUUUUAAGAGAACUACAUUUGAUAGUCUAGCCACUACCAGCGGCAUUGGGACCAUGCAGGCUGAGGUAAGCAAAUAUAUCCAGACAACCACUCAGCCCCUUCCCUGAUCUUUAGAUCAGAUCAACCGAAAGUCCAAGAAUAGCUUCUAUUGGAAGCCAUGUUUGACAUGAUAUUGGAAUAUCUAAGUAUGCAGAUGUUUUUUGUUGCAGGUGAAGUGACAAACAUGUGGAAAUACAUGGUGAACUUGCACUGCAGAACCUGUCUUAGGCAAGCUCAACCUACUGACAACAGCACAACAUGAAAUGGUUAAUGUGGCCAGUAGAUUGAGACAAAUUUUUAAAUGAACAUUGACACAUAUUCCACACAGAAAUUGACUUUGAAGCAAUCAGGAUAAAGUUAAACAUACUGACACCUGCCAGAGUGAGUCAAAUUAAAAUAAAGAGGGGCAUGGAAUGUGGAGAAAGAAAACAGAGGCCAAGAGAGGAAAAAUACUUAGUAAGAACUAUCUACAAAAUGGUUAAGGCUGAAGUGAGAGCUGGAGACUCUUAAAGUUCGUGAUUUAUUGAUGAUAUGGUAACUGCAGCCUUCUGUACAAUAUGUUAUGAUUUUCCUUGUCCAUAUCAUCAUCUAUUGCUUGAAAUGUAUGUACGUAGUCAACAUGCUAAUAACCCAGAAUUAUCAUUUAAUUAAUAUUAUUAUUAAAAUGGCCCUCCUGCAAAAGGAGUAAAGAUCAUGCAGUUGUCACUCCAGGCACAGUCAGGACAGAACUGGAAAAUAAUGGAGUGAGUGUCAGAGAUUGCUCCUCCCCCUCAAAGGGCUAGACUGUAAGAAUCCUGGAAAAUGUCGACAUCGGAUUUUCUUGCUAAUUAUUGAAAGAUAACUUAAAUACCAUGAUUGAUUGUAAAUUAGAAUUUUCAUUAGUUGUGAUAUGGCAAUCUUGUACUGAACUAUCUCUUUUAUUCCUGCUUGCAAUAUGCCCUGGAUAACAGGCACUGAGAGGUGAAUUGUUGGAGAAUUGUGAUUUGAACCUUCAUCGACCGAGUGGAUAGAAAAGUCAACUUCAGCAGAAAUCGAGCAGAACAUGAAUAGGGAAGCCUGCUGCAUGAGAAGUAAAAGAUAAACACCUUAGCAGAACAGAGGCCCAGAUAAGGGUAGAACCAAUAUAAAAUCAUUGACUACCCAAGGCCAUAUUUUGCUCCCUUUAGCCAAGCCUGGCAUUGGAAUGCCAAUGUAUUGAUAAGAUCCUAGAGUAGGAAGAAGAAAGAUGAUGUUAGGAAUCAGGAGACUCUGACCUGGUUUGGACAGGCAGAUGCUGAAUGACAUCUUUAAUUGAGCUGGUCAAAUAAUAGUAAGGUAAUGAUUGGAUUAAAUAGGCCUCCAUAGACUUUCCUGUGUAAAGGAAAUGUAAGAAGGAAUUUCCUGAGCACAGAGAUUGUAGAGGUUUUACGUGUCAUAUUGACUGAUACUGAUAAUACCUGGGGCACAACCAGUGGGUAGUUACAUGGGGAGAUCCACUUCUUCUCACGGUGUAAUGAUAAUGCUGCUGCGCUUUGAUACUGCUGCUCGGACAUUAGGAUGUAUCAAGGCUUACUUAUACUGAAUAAAAUAAAACUACUAUUACCAAUAAGGGUAUCACUUAAAAUCAUUUGUGAAUUUGAGAAGAAGGGGUUAAUUGACUCUGAUACCUCUCAUUCCAAAAUGAAGUACUUUAAUGGCCUGAUUAAUAACAUGUGUGUGCCAGCAUGGCUGUCAUUAUAUGCAUUCUGCCCAUGUGUUCAUGAAAAGGUGGUCAGCGGAUAGCCCUUAUUGCCCAGUAGCCUCUGGUUUCUUACGGUGCCUCAAAUACUGAUGGUCCAGCAGAUUGGUGAGAAUAAAGGCAUCAUGCCUGCAGCCAGGAUGAUGGGCAUUGCCUUGCCUUGCACACUGACUGAAUUCAUGAUCUGCCAACUCUGCAAACUUCCAGCACAUGCUCCCAGCACCCAUACCAUGGCCUGUCCAAAACAGCAUUAAAGCAACCAACGCCAGACAUGUGAGCACACGUGCGUGACAUGAGCGCCAUUUUGGGCCCAAAAUAAUGUCCAUAGUGCUGAAAAUAUGGGCGCUUCACAAUUGAAUUUUCAGCCUACAUGGAGGGCUGAAUGGGGCCCAAUGAUUAUGUGGUCAGCUAGUGUCCUAGUAUCCCAACUCCAUUCCUGAUGUCAGGUGGGCAGGCAAUUAGAUUUCCAUUCCAAAAGUGAAAAUCUAGCCCGUGGAGUCAAGUUUUUUUUCAGAUAUGAUUUGCUAAUAGAGAAGGUACUUUACUGACCAAGAUUUUCCUGCAGCUUUGCACCAUUGACAUGGCGUAUUUACAGUUUUGGGCCCCCUAAAUGGUAUAAAAGAUGAAAAUUAUGGAGCAAGUGGCUUAUGUCAUUACUUAUGCUAGUCCAUAUUUUUCUGGGAUGUUGAUGCUGCACCAUAGUCAAUAUCACUGCAAUCAGUUUAGAGGAUAUAUAUUAUAGCUCUGCAGUCCAUUAAAAUCAAUGAUGAUUGCCAUUCUCUGUAUUUGUGUUAAUUUUCAUGAUGCUGCCACUUAGACUGAACAAUAAUGGCCGGCAAUUGUGUGAUUUUUUUACUCCAAAAUCGAUAUAUUUUAAACACGUUUGUUUAGUUCUUGGUGUUUCUCAUUUUUUCUUUGUUCUGAAGUAAUUUGAAAGACUUACAAAUAAAAUUGCACUGAAACCUU